CCUACGGGCGGCUGCAGUGGGGAAUAUUGCACAAUGGGGGGAACCCUGAUGCAGCGACGCCGCGUGAGUGAAGAAGUCUUUCGGUAUGUAAAGCUCUAUCAGCAGGAACGAGACAAGACGGUACCUGACUAAGCAACCCCGGCUUACUACGUGCCAGCAGCCGCGGUAAUACGUAGGGGGAAAGCGUUAUCCGGAAUCACGGGGUGUAACGGGAGCGUAGACGGCGUAGCAAGCCUGAAGUGAAAGGCGGGGGCCCAACCCGCGGCGUGCUUUGGGCACUGUACUGCUGGAGUGCAGGGGAGGUAAGUGGAAUGCCUAGUGUAGCGGUGAAAUGCGUAGAUAUUAGGAGGAACACCAGUGGCGAAGGCGGCUUACGGGACUGUAACUGACGUUGAGGCUCGAAAGCGUGGGGAGCAAACAGGAUUAGAUACCCGAGUAGUC
rnacentral:rRNA from 1 species